rnacentral:lncRNA from 1 species
UUGGGACAACUUUUUAUUAAAUUGUUGUUUACACUAUAUUCUUUGUAGCUUAUUUGAUUUCAGAAUUACAUGUCCUUUAAUUAUAUUAAAAUGACAAUGCAACUAUAUGUUAUUAUACACAUACAACUUGUUUUUAGGUUGAACUUGAUCAAACUGGGUGAGUGACAAUUUUACAGAUCUAGAAGUUGACACCGACUUCAAUAAAGAGCUAUAAAAUUUAUUAGGGUGAAGUUGACGAAUCUCUAUUUUACCAAGUUUGGAUCCGGAACAAACCUAAUUAAGAUGGUUUUUGUUUAGGUAGGUGUGUCUCUUAUUCGAUUAGAUACACAACUUGUUUGGUAAAAUAAUUUCAACAAUAUUACAAAAUUCUUCCUUUAUCCCCAUAGUUGUCGGGAAAUCGGUCGAAACGAAAAUACGGAGGCGGAUCGCGACGAACUUAGUCGGGUUCGUAGUUGCUGCCGCCACCACCUCCAUUGUCGGUGGCCCGAACGACGUGGCUGAUUAGAAGAGGUUGAUGCGGCGCUCCUGGUCCUCGUCUCGUGAAGCCAUUCUCCCUGCUUUCUAUUUUCUCUCUCCGGUCUAGAUGCAGUGAACCCUAAUAUUAAUUUGGGUUUGAGUGCAGAGGAGAGUGGAAAUAUUACUUUUGAUUAGUUUUUCUAAUGUUAACUACUUUUUAGGAUGACAAUUCAAAUAUUUGUUGGACAUAGAUAAUGCUAAAAAUUAGUCUAAAUUUUAAAAAACGAUAUAUAUUGUAAUAUAUAUGUUAAUUUUUUUUUACGUUAAUAAGUAUUAUUGGUAAUUUUUUGGAGAGAUAUGUAAUAAAUUGGGC